CCCACCCUCAAUCUGGGUGGGCACCAUCUAGUCAGCUGCCAGUAUGGCUAUAAUAAAGCAGGCAGAAGAAGAUGGAAGAGCAGACUUGGUGAGUCUUCCGGCCUUCAUCUUUCUCUCGUGUUGGAAGCUUCCUGCCCUGGAACAUCAAACUCCAAGUUCUUCAGCUUUUGGACUCUUGGACUUACACCUAUCAUCUUACACCAGUCGUCUGCCAGGGGCUCUCCUGCCUUUGGCCACAGACUGAAGGCUGCAUUGUCGGCUUCCCUACCUUUGAGGUUUUGGGACUCAGACUGAUCCACCAGUGGCCUCCUUGCUCCUCAACUUGCAGACGGCCCAUCAUGGGACUUUACAUUGUGAUCGUGGGAAAUCAAAGCCUCGAAUCGUGAAGAAACAUGUGGAGGUGACACAACAAUUAUUUGCUGGGAGUGAGAGAGGUACUCACAUGCUCUUUUCACUUAUUGUCCAGAAGAAGAACAUCACGAUGGAAACAUACCUUUCACUGGAGUCAUUGAAUCUUAACUACUGAAUACCUUACCCAAGAAGUCAAUGCUGAAUGUCAUCAACAAAGGCCGCAACAACCAUAGCUGUGGAUAAGAAGAAUCCUUCUCUUAAGACAUGUUGAUUUUUUGAGUGUGCAGGGUAUGGAGACAUGAAGCCUUAAACUCGAAUACAAAAUCCACUCUAAGUCCUCAUUUUCUCUUCUGUAAAAUGGACUUAUGAACUGCCUCCCUCCCUAUGAGUUAAUGAGAUAACAGUUAAAUAGAAUGCAGGGCGUAACACAGGACCUCUCACAGGGACUGUACUCAACACGUUAGAUGUCUUAACUUCAUCCCUUUCUGACUCCAGGGAAAGUGAAAUGCCAGCAUUUUUAAGUAGAUGUUACAUUUCUACAGCGAACAAUCUUGUCUUUCUCUGAUUGUUUUUGGUUGAUUUUUAUGUAUCAUGUCAAUGGUUGGAGCAGCUAGUUUUUAAUGCAUAACAAAGCGCUGCCAAAUUUUAUGCUUUAAACAGUAAACUAUUUUACUCACAAUUCUGCAGGUCAAUAAUUUCAGCUGGUCCCAUCUGAGUGGGUUUUCUUGUUUGUUUGUUUGCUUUUUUUUUUUUUUUUUUGCUGUUCAUGGCUAGGCUUAGUUAUGCAUCUUCAGCUAGUGCUCUCUUAUGACCUAAGUAGUUCUGCUUGUGGGCGAAUGGUCUAGGAUGGCCUCACCCAUAUGUUGGGCAACGGUUUCACUGUCAGCUGGGGUGAAAGGGAAGAAUCUGCCACAGGUAUCUCAUCAUCCAGCUAGCCUGGCCAGCCUUCCUCACAUUGCUGUCACAAUGUUUCAAGAGCGAAAAGAGAGAGGAUACCCCAGUGUGCAAGCACCUUUCAGUUCUCUGCUGACUUCUGUUCACAUUUGUUAUUGUCCCACUGGACACAACAAAUUACAUGGCCAAGACCAGAAACAAUGACAGUGUGGAAGGAGAUACAGGCUUCCACGAACAAAUUGCAGUUUCACUGUAACAAUCUACUACUACAGUGAUUCCUGAAUUACACUGCUCAUCAUUGGAGAAAUACUUAAAUAUGCAAAACCAGACAGAGGAAUGCUGUUCUCUUAAAAAGGAUUUUUACUAUCGUUACAAAAGUCUUAGCUUUUCUUGCCUUGUUACUAUAUUAUAGAUGAAUAAUAAAGUUAUUAGGCCAUUCUCACAUUGCUAUAAAGAAAUACCUGAGACUGGGUAAUUUACAAAGAAAAGAGGUUUAAUUGGCUCAUGGUUCUGCAGGUUUUACAGGAAGCAUGGUGCCAACAGUUGCUCAGCUUCUGGGGUCGCCUCAGGAAGCUUACAAUGGUGGCAGAAGGCAGAGGGGGAGUAGAUGCAUCACAUAGCGAAAGCAUGAGCAAGACAGGGGAAGGUGCCACUUGCUUUUAAGUCACCAGAUCUUGUGAGCACUCACUAUCACACAGACAGCACCAAGCCAUGAGGGAUCCGCCCUCAUGAUCCAAACAUCUCCCACCAGGCCCCACUUCCACCAUUGGGGAUUACAAUUUAACAUGAGAUUUGGGCAAGGACAAGUAUCCAAA
rnacentral:lncRNA from 10 species